rnacentral:rRNA from 1 species
CCUACGGGAGGCUGCAGUAGGGAAUCUUCCACAAUGGACGAAAGUCUGAUGGAGCAACGCCGCGUGAGUGAAGAAGGGUUUCGGCUCGUAAAGCUCUGUUGGUAGUGAAGAAAGAUAGAGGUAGUAACUCUCCUUUAUUUGACGGUACUUACUUAGAACGUCCCGGCUAACUACGUGCCAGCAGCCGCGGUAAUACGUAGGAGGCAAGCGUUGUCCGGAUUUAUUGGGCGUAAAGCGAGUGCAGGCGGUUGGAUAAGUCUGAUGUGAAAGCCUUCGGCUCAACCCGAGAAUUGCAUCAGAAACUGUUGAACUAGAGAGCAGAAGCGGAGAGUGGAACUCAAGGUGUAGCGGUGGAAUGCGUAGAUAUA